rnacentral:rRNA from 1 species
GACGAACCGUGCGAACGUUAUUCGGAAUCACUGGGCUUAAAGCGCGUGUAGGCGGGACGGCACGUCUGUCGCUGAAAUCCCCCGGCUUAACCGGGGAACUGGCGUAGAUACGACCGUCCUGGAGGGGCGUAGGGGGACCUGGAACUUCCGGUGGAGCGGUGAAAUGCGUUGAGAUCGGAAGGAACGCCCGUGGCGAAAGCGAGGUCCUGGACGCCUACUGACGCUGAGACGCGAAAGCGUGGGGAGCAAACAGG